AAUAAAAAAAAGAAGCAUCAUUGUAUUUUCAGAAAAGCUUCGUACCAGAUGCAUUUCAAGGCUUUGAUGUUGGUAUUCAGUCAUACGAUGUGUUUUUUAACCAUCAUUAGAGGUCAGGUAGAAAAGAACAUCUCUCAAAUCCUUUGAUCCACUAAUUGUUCUGGUGGUUUGUUCCUAAUCUUCAAGAAGAAAACCAGUUGUUGCAGUGCAGCUUUGGUAAGAAGUUUAUCAAACACUCUGGGUCCUGGAUAAAAGCCUGAGUCCUCCGUACACCGUCACACCGUCAAGAUGUUCGUUCUGAAGACUUUCCUUCUGCUGCUGGUUGCUGGAGCUGUGCUGGUGUCAGGAACUGCUCCAUCCACCGCCACGGAGGAAACUCAAACUGAAGCUGUACGGGCUCAACGUGACCUCUUCAACCGUG